GAUGAAGAAACGUAGCGAAAUGCGAUACUUGGUGUGAAUUGCAGAAUCCCGUGAACCAUCGAGUCUUUGAACGCAAGUUGCGCCUCAAGCCAUUAGGUUGAGGGCACGUCUGCCUGGGCGUCACAUAUCGUUGCCUGAUGCCAGUUUCCUCGUGAUGGGUGACUGUGCAGGGCGAAUGAUGGCUUCCCGUGAGCAUUGUUGCCUCAUGGUUGGUUGAAAAUUGAGUCCUUGGUAGGGAGCGCCGUGAUAGAUGGUGGUUGAGUGACGAACGAGACCCAAUCAUGUGAGACCCCUACCGAAUUUGGCCUUCAUGACCCACAUGCGUCUUUGGAACGCUCAUGACGAGACCUCAGGUCAGGCGGGGCUACCCGCUGAGUUUAAGCAUAUCAAUAAGCGGAGGA
rnacentral:misc_RNA from 1 species